rnacentral:lncRNA from 1 species
UGAAUGUAUCUGUUCCUCAGAAGAGAAGGACUACUACAGUCCCCACGGUACUUUGCUCCUCUGUUACCAUUUCCAGCCGGAGGGAAAAGAUAAAAGCUCGCAGUAUAAAAACUUGCAGAUCACGAGACCUCGUCCCUUUUUCCGCCGUCUCUCGUCUUGGCAGCACCUCGCUCUCCAGCCGUCUUAUCGUCGGUAGUAGAGUAAGGCCUACCUUGACUUUGGGACAUUCUCUCUCUCUGUAUUGGAUUUAUCAGCUUAAAUUGUAAUUAUAUUGUAUUAUAGUGUGUUGUUUUGCAUUCCGAUAUUUUAUUUAGUAAAUUAGUUUGUUUCUCCUCAGAUUGUUGCCACUGUUCUUUGCUCUCAGGGCCAUCUCCCUACCCUUUUCCCCUUUCCCCUUUUCCCAGGGCGUGGGCCCUUGGGUCCCCCGUCCCCUUUGUCACGGAAUCGGGCCUAACGCCCGUAAACCGUUGACAGACACCUACAGCUCAGUGUAGCUAGCAUGUAUCUGUGUGUGCUCAGACAGCUUUUCUGAUCACCUCGGCCCUGACUCUUCCAAUAUUUAAGCACCGUUUAACUUGUGUCUGAUUCAUGCUCGCACACUGAAGGAUUAAGAAAGUUCACCAGAUAAGAGCAUAUGAGUGCACCAGUGACCAUGCGUUAAAAAAAAAAUCCCACACAGGCAUACUGCUUUUUGGCUACACUGAACCAGCUUUGAAAAUUCUCCCUCAGGGAUAUACUUUGAUUUCUGCAAGAAGUUCCACAGCUGUAGAUGGAAAGGGUUUGGUUAUCUACAGAAAUGAAGGGGUGAAUGAUCAUCACUUCAAAGAGGGGCAGUUUUCUUGGGAUAAGGGUCAGCUCCUACCAGUUCAACCUAAGGUCAAAAAAACCCACCUAUUACUAGGAGGAGGUCUUCUUGAGGACAUUACCACUGCUUAAUCUGCAUACUCCCUUAUUGGGUUCUUCCUCAUUCAGGUCAGAACUCCAGUCUAAUGAGAACAUUUAUGGAAUUCAUUCUUCAAAAAGAGUGACCCCACAUUCUACUCAUGUGGUUUUUGGCUCCUCUUUGUGUAACAAGCUGUAAAAAACCCUGAGAUUAAAACACCUUACUAUUUCCCCUUGGACUUUAUGGUUUAUGUCCAGUCUGAGUUUAGAAUUUAUUUCAUGUACAAUACUCUGAAACCACACAGCACUCCACAAAAUGCACAUUGAUAAGGAUGUUGGCAAGCAUCCAAAAAAAAAAAAAAAACCAAAAAAAAACUUUUGGAAAAAUGUGCUGCAUAGGAAUAAAAUUGAAGAAAACUUUUUAAUCUUCCUAAUA